AGCAGCCGCGGUAAUUCCAGCUCCAAUAGCGUAUAUUAAAGUUGUUGCAGUUAAAAAGCUCGUAGUUGAAUUUCGGGGUUAGUAAGUUGGUCAUGCCUCCGGUAUGCACUGGCUUUACUGAUUCCUCCUUCUUGAUGAACUGUAAUGUCAUUAAUUUGGUGUUGCAAGGAAUCAGGACUGUUACUUUGAAAAAUUAGAGUGUUUAAAGCAGGCAUACGCUUGAAUACAUUAGCAUGGAAUAAUGAAAUAGGACGUUUGAUCCUAUUUUGUUGGUUUCUAGGAUUGACGUAAUGAUUAAUAGGGAUAGUUGGGGGCAUUAGUAUUCAAUUGUCAGAGGUGAAAUUCUUGGAUUUAUUGAAGACUAACUACUGCGAAAGCAUUUGCCAAGGAUGUUUUCAUUAAUCAAGAACGAAAGUUAGGGGAUCGAAGACGAUCAGAUACCGUCGUAGUCUUAACCAUAAACUAUGCCGACUAGGGAUCGGAUGAUGUUAUUUUUAAUGACUCAUUCGGCG
rnacentral:rRNA from 1 species